ensembl:snRNA U6 U6 spliceosomal RNA
AGUCUCUAUGGAAGCAUGUAUACCAAAAUUAGGAUGAUACAGAGAAAAUUGGCAUGGCCACUGAGCAAGGAUGACAUGUAAAUUUAUGAAGCAUCCCAUAUAUGA